GAUGAACGCUGGCGGCGUGCCUAAUACAUGCAAGUCGAGCGGACAGACGAGGAGCUUGCUCAUCUGACUUUAGCGCCGGACGGUUAAGUAACACGUACAUACCCUACAUAUAAGACUAAGUUCACUUAAGGAGACCGAAGCUAGUACCGGAUAAUAUAUUGCACCGCAUGGUUCGGUAAGUAACGGCGGUUUUGCUGUCGCUUAUAGAUGAAUCCGCGCCGCAUUAGCUAGUUGGUAAGGUAAUGGCUUACCGAGGCAACGAGUGGUAGCCGACCGGAUAGGGUGGUAGGCCACAUGGGAAGUGAGACAGGGUCCAGGCGCCUACGGGAGGCAGCAGUAGGGUACCGGCGGCAAUGGGCGAAAGCCUGACGGAGCAACGCCGCGUGUGUGAUGAAGGCCUUCGGAUCGUAAAACUCUGUUAUUAGUUAAGAACAAAUGUGGAAUGAAACAUGCACGUCGUGACGGUACCUAAUCAGAAAGCAACGGCUAACUACGUG
rnacentral:rRNA from 1 species